rnacentral:rRNA from 1 species
UACAGAGGGUGCGAGCGUUGUCCGGAAUUACUGGGCGUAAAGGGCGCGUAGGCGGCUUGGUAAGUCGGGGGUGAAAGUCAGCGGCUCAACCGCUGGACUGCCUUCGAGACUGCCUGGCUUGAGCAUGGUAGAGGCUGGCGGAAUUCCCGGUGUAGCGGUGGAAUGCGUAGAGAUCGGGAAGAACACCGGUGGCGAAGGCGGCGUCCUGGACCAACACUGACACUGAGGAGCGAAAGCCAGGGGAGCAAACAGG